GUGUGACCAUAGGAAGGUAGGAGCUAAAAGAAAAAAUAAAAAGGUUUGGGUUCCAAAAGGAACCAACUUUACUAAUCUUGAAGGAUCCAAGAAAACUUGGGUACCUAAAAUUAUAUGAUUUCCUUUUGUAGGAGUGUCUUGCAGCCAAAGUCGACAAAAACUGUUGGUACUUGGAUAGUGGCUGCUCAAGACACAUGACGGGUGA
rnacentral:lncRNA from 1 species